rnacentral:lncRNA from 10 species
CUGGGCUGGGCACAUAACAUUCUCAUAAAAAUGUUUGUCCAGUCAAUGAAGGAUUUCGGUUUUUUUUAAGAGACAGGGUCUCAUUCUGUUGCCCAGGCUGGAGUGCAGUGUCACGAUCACGGCUCACGCAGUCUUGACCUCCUGGGCUCAAAUGAUCCUCCCACCUCAGCCUCAAAUGAUCCUCCCACCUCAGCCUCCCGAGUAGCUCGGACCACGGGCACAUGCCACCAUGCCUGGCUGAUUUUUGUAUUUUUUGUAGAGAUGGGGUUUCGCCAUGUUGAUGAGGCUGGUCUCGAACUCCUGGCUCAAGCAAUCCACGUGCCUCGGCUUUCCAAAAAGAUUACAGGCAUGAGCUACCGUGCUCCCGGUCAGGAAUCUUUUAAAAGUCUCCUGGGUUGUCUUGGAUGAGAAAAAUAAAAAGAAGUCUCCCAGAGAACUUGAAAGCCUUAGAUCAGGAUUCCCUUCCUUCAGAGGGGUAAGAGCAACUUUGUGGAGUUUCAGGCAAUAAGGAGAUUGCCUUGUCAGUUUACAGAAGGAAACGGAGGCAGAGAGAGACGCAGCAAUUUGCCCAGGGUCUCAGGUGAGUAAAAGGCCUCAGUGGUGGGUGUGGGCAGCAUGGCUGGAAGAAGCGGAAUUUGGUGUGGAAUUUGUGGAGAUGUGUCAGGAGUUGCACCUCUGGGACUAGGGCACUCACAGCCCUCUCCUAAUAACAAUAACAACCACCAUUAGCAUUUAUGGAGUGCUCGCUGCGGGCUGGCUCUGUGCUGAGCAACUCUGGCUGUCUCACUGCACACUUUACACUAACGCAAUGGGAGGGGAGGUGUCAUUAUCCCCCAGAAAGUGUCAAGGGCAGGAGUUAUUGAUUCAUGGUGUCUGCUCUUGUAGAAAUUUGAAUUCCAGUAAGGGAGAGGGGAGCCAGAAAAUAACCACGGGAAGACAUCAAUGAAUGAGAUAAUUUCACAUAACGAUAAAUGCCAGGGAGAAAAAACCCACAGGGCAAUGUGAUAUGGCCUCUGGAGGUGGAGAAGGAACUGCUCCAGAUGAGGCCAUCCGUGAAGGCUUCUCUGAGGAGGUGACAUUAGAGCCAGAGCCAGUAACGUCUGGACUUGAACCUGGGCUUGCGGCAUGGGAGAGUCCUGCAUCUGACUCCAAACUUCCCCUCCUCUGUCUCCUGUGGAUCACAGAAUGCUUUUGCCAGAGACUCAAUCCCUUGUUAAGAAUCAUGGAGUUGGCCGGGCACGGUGGUUCAUGCCUGUAAUCCUAGCACUUUGGGAGGCUGCGGCGGGUGGAUCACUUGAGGUCAGGAGUUCAAAACCAGCCUGGCCAACAUGGUGAAACCCCGUCUCUACUAAAAAUACAAAAAAUUAGCAGGGCAUGAUGGUGCGAGCCUGUAAUCCCAG